rnacentral:rRNA from 1 species
UACAGAGGGUGCGAGCGUUGUUCGGAAUUAUUGGGCGUAAAGCGCGUGUAGGCGGCGAUUUAAGUCGGGUGUGAAAUCCCUCAGCUCAACUGAGGAAGUGCGCCCGAGACUGAAUCGCUUGAGUGCCGGAGAGGGUGGCGGAAUUCCCCAAGUAGAGGUGAAAUUCGUAGAGAUGGGGAGGAACACCGGAGGCGAAGGCGGCCACCUGGACGGUAACUGACGCUGAGACGCGAAAGCGUGGGUAGCAAACAGG